GAUGAACGCUAGCGGCAUGCCUUACACAUGCAAGUCGAACGGCAGCACGGGAGCAAUCCUGGUGGCGAGUGGCGAACGGGUGAGUAAUAUAUCGGAACGUGCCCAGUCGUGGGGAUAACGUAGCGAAAGCUACGCUAAUACCGCAUACGAUCUAUGGAUGAAAGCGGGGGAUCGCAAGACCUCGCGCGAUUGGAGCGGCCGAUAUCAGAUUAGGUAGUUGGUGAGGUAAAGGCUCACCAAGCCGACGAUCUGUAGCUGGUCUGAGAGGACGACCAGCCACACUGGGACUGAGACACGGCCCAGACUCCUACGGGAGGCAGCAGUGGGGAAUUUUGGACAAUGGGCGCAAGCCUGAUCCAGCAAUGCCGCGUGCAGGAUGAAGGGCCUUCGGGUUG
rnacentral:rRNA from 1 species